GUGAGUAACACGUAGGUAACCUGCCCAGAAGCGGGGGACAACAUUUGGAAACAGAUGCUAAUACCGCAUAACAACGUUGUUCGCAUGAACAACGCUUAAAAGAUGGCUUCUCGCUAUCACUUCUGGAUGGACCUGCGGUGCAUUAGCUUGUUGGUGGGGUAAUGGCCUACCAAGGCGAUGAUGCAUAGCCGAGUUGAGAGACUGAUCGGCCACAAUGGGACUGAGACACGGCCCAUACUCCUACGGGAGGCAGCAGUAGGGAAUCUUCCACAAUGGGCGCAAGCCUGAUGGAGCAACACCGCGUGAGUGAAGAAGGGUUUCGGCUCGUAAAGCUCUGUUGUUAAAGAAGAACACGUAUGAGAGUAACUGUUCAUACGUUGACGGUAUUUAACCAGAAAGUCACGGCUAACUACGUGCCAGCAGCCGCGGUAAUACGUAGGUGGCAAGCGUUAUCCGGAUUUAUUGGGCGUAAAGAGAGUGCAGGCGGUUUUCUAAGUCUGAUGUGAAAGCCUUCGGCUUAACCGGAGAAGUGCAUCGGAAACUGGAUAACUUGAGUGCAGAAGAGGGUAGUGGAACUCCAUGUGUAGCGGUGGAAUGCGUAGAUAUAUGGAAGAACACCAGUGGCGAAGGCGGCUACCUGGUCUGCAACUGACGCUGAGACUCGAAAGCAUGGGUAGCGAACAGGAUUAGAUACCCUGGUAGUCCAUGCCGUAAACGAUGAGUGCUAGGUGUUGGAGGGUUUCCGCCCUUCAGUGCCGGAGCUAACGCAUUAAGCACUCCGCCUGGGGAGUACGACCGCAAGGUUGAAACUCAAAGGAAUUGACGGGGGCCCGCACAAGCGGUGGAGCAUGUGGUUUAAUUCGAAGCUACGCGAAGAACCUUACCAGGUCUUGACAUCUUGCGCCAACCCUAGAGAUAGGGCGUUUCCUUCGGGAACGCAAUGA
rnacentral:rRNA from 1 species